rnacentral:rRNA from 1 species
CACUCCUGCGGGAGGCAGCAGUGGGGAAUAUUGGACAAUGGGCGCAAGCCUGAUCCAGCCAUGCCGCGUGAGUGAUGAAGGCCCUAGGGUUGUAAAGCUCUUUCACCGGUGAAGAUAAUGACGGUAACCGGAGAAGAAGCCCCGGCUAACUUCGUGCCAGCAGCCGCGGUAAUACGAAGGGGGCUAGCGUUGUUCGGAUUUACUGGGCGUAAAGCGCACGUAGGCGGACUAUUAAGUCAGGGGUGAAAUCCCGGGGCUCGACCCCGGAACUGCCUUUGAUACUGGUAGUCUUGAGUUCGAGAGAGGUGAGUGGAAUUCCGGGUGUAGAGGUGAAAUUCGUAGAUAUUCGGAGGAACACCAGUGGCGAAGGCGGCUCACUGGCUCGAUACUGACGCUGAGGUGCGAAAGCGUGGGGAGCAAACAGGAUUAGAAACCCCAGUAGUCCC